UACGGAGGGUGCGAGCGUUAUCCGGAUUUACUGGGUUUAAAGGGUGCGUAGGCGGGUUGAUAAGUCUGUGGUGAAAGGUUGUAGCUUAACUAUAAAACUGCCAUGGAUACUGUUAAUCUUGAAUUACAAUGAGGAUGGCGGAAUGUGACAUGUAGCGGUGAAAUGCAUAGAUAUGUCAUAGAACACCAAUUGCGAAGGCAGCUAUCUGGUUGAGGAUUGACGCUGAGGCACGAAAGCGUGGGGAUCGAACAGG
rnacentral:rRNA from 1 species